rnacentral:rRNA from 1 species
UACAGAGGUCUCAAGCGUUGUUCGGAUUCAUUGGGCGUAAAGGGCGUGUAGGCGGUUAAGUAAGUGGGAUGUGAAAUCCCUCGGCUCACCCGAGGACCUGCAUCUCAAACUGCUUAGCUUGAGUAUGGGAGAGGAUGAGGGAAUUCCUGGUGUAGCGGUGAAAUGCGUAGAUAUCAGGAGGAACACCGGUGGCGAAGGCGCUCAUCUGGCCCAAUACUGACGCUGAGGCGCGAAAGCUAGGGGAGCAAACGGG